ACGGGUGAGUAAUGCUUAUCUAACUUGCCAAUUAGUGGGGAUAACCGUGGGAAACCAUGGCUAAUACCGCAUUUGUUACUUCGGUAAUAAAAGGAAAUCGUAAGAUUUUCGCUAGUUGAGAGGGAUAAGUCGUAUUAGUUAGUUGGUAGGGUAAUGGCCUACCAAGGCAAUGAUGCGUAGCCAGUCUGAGAGGAUGAAUGGCCACAAGGGAACUGAGAUACGGUCCCUACUCCUACGGGAGGCAGCAGUGAGGAAUUUUCGGCAAUGGGGGCAACCCUGACCGAGCAAUACUACGUGAAGGAGGAAGGUCUACGGAUUGUAAACUUCUGUUAGUGCAGAAAAAGGCUAGAUGCAAAUCUAGUUUGAUGGUAUGCACAGAGAAAGCCACGACUAACUACGUGCCAGCAGUCGCGGUAAGACGUAGGUGGCGAACGUUAUCCGGAAUUAUUGGGCGUAAAGGGUGCGUAGACGGUGUAGUAAGUUAGCAGUGGGAAAUCGAAGCUCAACUUCGUGGAAACUGUUAAUACUACUAUACUCGAGUGCAGGAGAGGUUAACGGAACUCAAUGUGGAGCGGUAAAAUGCGUAGAUAUAUUGAAGAACACCAAUAACGGCGAAGGCAGUUAACUAUUCUGCUACUGACGUUGAGGCACGAAAGCGUGGGGAGCAAAAAGGAUUAGAUACCCUUGUAGUCCACGCCCUAAACGAUGAGUACUAGAUAUUGGGAACUUGAUUCUCAGUGUCGCUAGGUAACCCGGUAAGUACUCCGCCUGGGUAGUACGCUCGCAAGAGUGAAACUCAAAGGAAUUGACGGGGACUCGCACAAGCAGUGGAGCAUGUGGUUUAAUCCGAUACAACGCGUAGAACCUUACCAAGGCUUGACAUGUAAGGUAGCAAUACCAAACUAGGGAAACCUAGUUGAAUUACACAGGUGCUGCAUGGCCGUCGUCAGUUCGUGCCGUGAGGUGUAUGGUUAAGUCCUAUAACGAACGUAACCCUUAGGUUUAGUUGCCAGCAUUCAGUUGGGGACUCUAGACCGACUGCCCGAGUAAUCGGGAGGAAGGAAAGGAUGACGUCUGGUCGUC
rnacentral:rRNA from 1 species